UGAAUGGGACCAAAUGCUUUAAAAGCAGCAGAUCCUCUCUGAUCAUGGAUGCUAAGCAAGGCCAGUCCUGAUUAGGACUUGUGCGGGAGACCGCCAGUGAAUGCCAGUUUCUGUAGAC
rnacentral:rRNA from 11 species